GACGGAGGGUGCAAGCGUUGUUCGGAAUUACUGGGCGUAAAGCGCGUGUAGGCGGGUCGGUGCGUCGGCCGCUGAAAUCCCCCGGCUCAACCGGGGAAGGGGCGCCGAUACGGCCGGCCUGGAGCGACGUAGGGGGGACUGGAACUUCCGGUGGAGCGGUGGAAUGCGCAGAUAUCAGGAGGAACACCGAUGGCGAAGGCAGUUCUCUGGGCCGUAACUGACGCUGAGGAGCGAAAGCGUGGGGAGCGAACAGG
rnacentral:rRNA from 1 species